CUCAGGCCAGAAUACAGUUAAAAGGCGAUCUUUCAGAAACUGGGCCUUUUGGCUGAGAGCCAGCCCUUGCCAAGACAACCAGUGCACAGCGCCACCUUCUGCAAAGCCAGGACAGCUCUUCGGAGUUUCCCUCACGGAUGUGUGUGACAAGGACAACUUGCCCUCUGCAAUUCUGGAUUUUCUUCGAAAUAUCCAAGGAAGUAUAUUUUUAUCUGAUCUCUAUGACAAAUGGCUUGGUGUUAUUGAUCAAGGGAACGAGGAGGAGAAAAUAAUUGCGGCCCAGAGGCUUUUAGCCCAGCUGCCAAGAGCGAAUUUUGUUCUCUUGCGAUACCUUUUUGGAGUGUUACACAACAUUGAGCAACAUUCCUCAUCCAAUUAGAUGACAGCUUAUAAUUUAUCCGUGUGUAUAGCCCCAAGCAUUCUUUGUCCACCUAAUUCCUG